rnacentral:misc_RNA from 1 species
AGAUGAACAACAUAAUUAGUCACAUUGUUUUACAUUACUUUCCUAUAUUCAUUUUGUACCUUUCUCUACCUCGGUAAUCUGUUACUCAUCAAACAGGAACUGUAGAUCAUUGGACAGGGGCUGGCUCACUUGCUCCCUCUUACUCCCCGCACGAUGGUAAAUGAAAAACGUAAGCAUUCCAGCAAACAAAGCAAAACUGCUGAAAUAAUUGGAAG